rnacentral:rRNA from 1 species
AGCGAACGUUUGCGGCGGGCUUAACACAUGCAAGUCGAACGGGCUGUUCCUUCGGGGGCAGUCAGUGGCGCACGGGUGCGUAACACGUAGGUAAUCAACCCUCUGGUUGGGGAUAACACUUCGAAAGGAGUGCUAAUACCCGGUAUGGCGCAGCGGUCUUCGGAUCGCGGCGAGAAAGACCCGCAAGGGUUGCCAGAGGACGAGCCUGCGGCCCAUCAGCCUAGUUUGGCGAGGUAACGGCUCACCAAGGCGAAGACGGGUAGCUGGUUUGAGAGGAUGAUCAGCCACACUGGAACUGAGACACGGUCCAGACUCCUACGGGAGGCAGCAGUGGGGGAAUAUUGCGCAAUGGGCGAAAGCCCUG